GUUCUUUCACCAAUCUAUCAUCUUUUCAGUCAUUUUCUACCUUUCUAUUUUUUAUUCUCAUUCUCUCUCUUGAUGGAGAAGUCGAAAAAGUGACUUAGAAAUGGAGGUAUUACAUUUUCGGAGAGGAACAUCAAAUUGAUGGAAAUAUAGUGAAGAGUGAUUUCAGUCCCCGGUUGGAACAUUAAUUUGGUGAUGAAAUUUCACAUUUGACUAUCGAAAUGGGAGGUAAUCUUUCAGUCCAAGUAAAUUUUUGUGUUUUCCUUUCAGUUUUUGGGUUUGAUUAUUUUUCCCGAGAUAUUGAAUUCUUAUUUAUCAAAGUCAAAAUUAUCUUUUAUUUUUAUGUUUUUUGAUUUGGGAAUUGGAGAAACUUUACAGGAAGCCCGUCAUUAUGAAAUGGAUGCAAUAAGGAAGAAAGAGAAUUAAGUAAAACUCACUAGAAAUCUUGUGAGCAUUUGGCUUUAACUGAUUUUGCACAUGCAUGUACUCAUUCACUAUUUUGUCUCAAUUUCUUAGGUGUAGAAUGUAUUAGAAGAAUUCAGUGAGAAUAUAGAAAGGCUCUGUGAGAAAAAUUCUCAAAGGUUAGUACUAUAUAUAUCCAAUAGUCAUUUUUUGGAGAUUAUCUCCCCUUUUUUCUCCGCAAUUUUGUCCUGUUGAUAAGUUGGAGAUUUGAUUGGUUCCACAUACUUCUGAACAAUCUGCUUCUGUAAAGUUCAACUUUUUUGCUAAGCAACAUAUUUGUGUUCUUUCAAAUUCACAAAUAUUGAUUAUUUAUGAAGUGAAGUGAAAUUAUUUAUCAUAUAGGACUCGACAACGUGAACAAGAUAUCACCUUCAGGUCAUUUAGGUUGGGCCUGUAUUGACUAAUUUGGUUGAAGGUUGAGUAUUUGUGGUCUCUCUCUAUAAUGUUUAUACUCAUGGCUCGUGGGGUGGUUGUACACUCUUGUCAUCACUUACCCAAUUAUAUAUUUAUCAUAUGUAGUCUAGCUGGAACAUGUCUUCACUUAUACAACUAUGUAUUUAUUGUACGUAGCCUGUCUGGAACAAAAUGAUCAAUAUUGUUUGAAGGUAUAUGAGCUUAUUUUUUUCGUACAUGUACAUAAAAAUGUCAUGCUCUAUCCAUAUAGUUAAAUUACUUUAGUUGUAUUGUUAAGGUGAAAAAGACGACACCGAAUUCAACUAUGUUGGGCUGCUAAGAUUUUUUUGGAUUGGGGGGGAGGGGGAGGGAAUGCUUGUUGUGCUACUUAAGCGUUUUUCUCUUUUUAUGUGUUGGGGUGGUGCUUUUUGUUGUUGUUAUGCUGUUGUGUUUGUUCAGAGUCUUUAGAUUAAGAGCUAGGAUGAUUAAAGGUGACAUUUUAGGAUGUGUAAGUGUUUAGUUGAGGUGCUUCUUAGAGUUCAUGUAUUUAUUCAAUUUGUAUAGUAAAAUUGGUUAGAUGAACCUGAUAAGGGUGGUAAUCCUCAAAAGUUAUCUUUUUUUUCUUCUUUAUCAUUUCUUGUUGUUAUAUCCAUGUUUCAUCAGGUGACAUGAAGUUUGGGAAUGUCCUUUGUUCCAAUCUGGACCUUUUAUGCUACUUUGAGCUGUUUUUUUUUCUCUCUUUCUUUCCUUUUAUUGUGGUGUUGGUGUUGUUUUAUUGUUAUUUUGAGCUUGCUUGAUCAGAUUUCUCUUCAAGUGUUGUAGCAAUUGCAUCACAAGUUUGAUGAAAUUUUUCAAAAAUGAUUGAAUCUGCCACUUUUCUUUAUUUGUUUCUAGAGUGAAGGCUGAAAAAAUUACCUGAACUGAAGGAGAAGUGAGUUUCUUAUCUGAAAUAUCACUAUAUGUUCACAUAGGAGAAGUAAACUAUUGAUGGUUGACUUGUGUUUUGACAAAUAGUUGGUGAUAGUUCAUAGUUCAGUGAUGAAAUUCAAAUACCGAAUACUUAAGGUGUGAUUUUUGCCAUUGACUCUUUGUUUCUCAUUUCUUGCACAAUGGUUGUUUGGUUAUUUCCUAUUAAUGAAAUAAUAAUGUAUAUGAACUUGCAUGACCUUUAUUGUGAAUUAUAAUCUUCCAAACUACUUAUUUUGGCUUCUCCGGGAGGUGAUGGACAGAUGCGAAAAAGAAAAGUUAGUGUAUGACUCAUGUUGGAUGGCAAUGUCAAUAUUACAGAUGGUUGCAAAACACUUUCAAUGUCAUGCAUUUAUAUUUAUUUUUUACAAUUAUAUAUCAAGUAAAGAACAUAUUUUGCCAAGUUCUUUUUGGCAGUUUUUUGGCAGAGUCCAUAGAAACAUGCCUUUGAUUUAGAUUGUGUCACGAGUCGUUCUCUCUACUAACUGUCAGAAUAAUCCGAAAGUCAAUCAUUCCCAGCUUUGAUAUGAAGGUAUGGGGGAGAUCAAAAGGGAGUAUGUUAGUCAAAUAGAGGGCUCUCAGGUGCAUAUCCUGUUUCUCCAUUUGUACGAGUACAUUAUUUUUUGUAGAACAAUAAUAACAAUCAAUACCAUAGAUUCAUAACUAUAAAUUGCUUAUUGCAAAUAUAGCAAUAACAGAAAAGGCAAGAUUCUUACCUCCUCCUUGCCAACUUCUACAUACAUCUCCCUACAUGAUUCAUAUAAUUGUAGCCAAGGUAAGAAACAACUGUACAAGAUAACUUGACAAUACUCUUAUUGUUAUAAACUCUAUCCCUCCCCCUAUUACAAGUUCGAUAACACUACAAGCAAGAGCAAAAUUGUAUGAUCAUUUGAAGAAAAUAAAAGAUGUAGCUUUUAAACUCUGCAUAAAGGAUUUGUUUUUCUCAUUCCAAUGCUUCAAUGACAAUUUUCUUACUAGGAGCACUGAGCACAAAUUAUUGUAUCAUUGAACACACUAAAUCACCAUUUAAAGAAAUAAUAGUAAUGAGAAGCUUAGAUGAAUUGUCAAUUUUCUAUUCUUUGACAAGUCUAAUAAUUCAAGUAUUUAAGAAUUUUAAUUAGUUUAUCCUCUCUUAAAAUUUUAUUGAGGACUCUUUUAGCAAAGAGAAGUCUCAUCGACAUCGGACCUUAUUUAAUAAUUCUAUUCGAGUAUUAAAAUGAAGAUAUUUUUUUAGAUGUUAAUGGAACUCUUUAACAUCCUUGCAGACUAAUUAAAGAAAGAAAGAGGCAAGGUAUUAAGAAUGUAUUCAGUGCUACUUCAAUCAAACAUCUUAAGAUAUCCAGCCAUUUUUCGAGGAGUUUACUUUAACUAUUGUCAUGUCAUGGGAGAUGAAAACUCACCAAAUCUUUUUAGUUCGUCUUGACUUUGUAUUUGUUUAUAUUAUGCACACUCUAUAGAGUUUCACAUUCUCAUGGAUUUGACUCCUUUGUGAUUCAAAUACAUCUGGUAUACUCACUAAUUAGUACUGUUGGAUCCUUGCUCACCUAUAGUUAUAUUGUUGAGUGAGGCAAGUAACUGAGAAAAACAAUUAAAUUCCAAAAACAGAACAAGAAGGAGCCAACCCAUGAAAAAGGGAAAAACAUUCAAGUUCCAGAAACAGAACAAGGAGGAGGCCAAAUCAUGAAAAAUGAUUGAUUUCAAAUUCUCUAAUUUUCAAGACUUAAGGGAACAACAAAUAGUAAUGUCUGGGCACAGAAGAGUUAGAUAUGUACAAAAAGUUGAAAAGUUGAUGUUCUCCAUAGUACAUUGGAUAGUCCAGAUGUUGACACAUUAUUAGUAAUGUCUGUAAAUGCAGAAUGUUUCUAACAACUUCGAGCAUUCUCCCUUUCUUACUUUUUGAUUAUUUCGUUUGGGUGCAAAUUUGAGUCAAUAUUUUAUGUAGUCUACCUUAUCAAUGAUUUUGCAGAUGCUUGAGUGAAUACAUUUUAUUUCCAUA